rnacentral:tRNA from 4 species
AACUAAUAAGCUUUAAGAAGCAAAUGUUUUGAAAGCAUUAGAUAAAGGUAUACUUUAUUAGUUU